UGCAAGCUUCUCUAUCUAUCUAUCUCUCUCUUCAUGGCCUCUGCUGGUGCUUCGGGGUGCUUCCUUGCUCGUUUCAUCGACCCAGAAUCGGCAAAAUGCAGCAUCUCUGCCGCCCCACCAUUUUCCAUUAGGCAAUCCAUUCAUUUCUUCCAUCAGAAAUAUCAAUUGUGUUCACUUUCCAUGAAUGGGUGCGAAGGAGACCCGAGAAACCCCGUAGGAAACAUUGAAACGCGGGCUUUUCCGGCAGUUCCAUCGCCUGCAUUGGCUAUGGAGAGGCUCAACUCCGCCAUUUCUCAGUUGAAAUCCGAGCCACCACCAUUUACAUCUGGAAUUAUUCGUCUCGAGGUGCCAAUCCAGCAGCCGGUUGAAGCAAUUGAUUGGCUCCACGCCCAACACAACCUCCUCCUUCCUCGCUGCUUCUUCUCCGGUCGAACCGGCUGUUCCGACCUUUUGAGUUUCACAAAUGGCAAUGCCAAUGGCAAUGGCAUCUCAAUGGGUGCACACAAUUUGGUCAGCGUAGCUGGUGUGGGCUCCGCGGUCUUGUUCCACAGUAUUCAUCCCUUCUCAUAUAGCGAUUGGAAAUCCAUUAAGAGGUUCCUCUCAAAGAAGUGCCCUUUAAUCCGUGCUUAUGGGGCUAUACGUUUCGAUGCGAGGUCUAGCAUAUCAUCAGAAUGGGAGGGUUUUGGAUCCUUUUACUUCAUGGUUCCUCAGGUUGAGCUUGAUGAGCUUGAAGGAAGCUCAAUGCUUGCCGCAACUGUUGCAUGGGACAAAUCCCUUUCAUGGACAUGGGGAAUGGCUAUUGAUGCACUUCAGGCUACCAUGUGCCAGGUUUCUUCCACUGUUGUAAAGCUGCGAAAAGAGGUUCCAAGAACAUUCAUAAUAAGCAAUAAUCACAUCCCCAGUAAGACAUAUUGGGAUCUUGCUGUAAACAGAGCCUUGCAGCUGAUUGACAGAAGCAACUCUGCACUGAUUAAGGUUGUACUAGCACGGAGCAGCAGAGUGGUAACUACUACAGAUAUUGACCCUAUAACAUGGUUAGCUUGUUUACAGGUUGAAGGAGAAAAUGCUUAUCAGUUUUGUCUGCAGCCGCCUAAUGCCCCAGCAUUUAUUGGAAACACGCCAGAGCAACUAUUUCAUAGAAAAUGUCUUAGCAUUAGUAGCGAGGCUUUGGCUGGAACCCGUGGUAGAGGUGGAUCAACGACUCUAGAUCUUCAAGUAGAACUUGAUUUACUUUCCAGUCCGAAGGAUCACCUUGAGUUUACUAUAGUGCGAGAAAGCAUAAGAAAAAAAUUAGAGGCUGUAUGUAAUGGGGUAGUGGUAGAACCAAAGAAAGCGAUACGGAAACUCCCAAGAGUCCAGCAUUUAUAUGCUCGAUUGGCAGGCAGAUUAAGAAGUGAAGAUGAUGAGUUUGACAUCUUGGCUUCUCUUCAUCCAAGUCCAGCUGUUUGUGGAUUUCCAACAGAAGAGGCACGGCUUUUUAUUGCAGAAGCUGAAGUAUUUGAUCGAGGAAUGUAUGCUGGGCCUGUUGGUUGGUUUAGCGGAGGAGAGAGCGAGUUUGCUGUUGGCAUCAGGUCUGCAUUAGUGGAAAAGGGUCUUGGUGCAUUGAUCUAUGCUGGAACAGGAAUAGUGGAAGGAAGCAAUCCAUCUUUGGAGUGGGAUGAAUUGGAACUCAAGAUAUCUCAGUUCACCAAGUUGCUUAAACUUGAACGAACUGCCUCUGCACCAAAAGUUAUAACUUGAGGAGUAUAAACUGAAAGAUUGGUGGUCACCAGUAGUGAACAUUAGGUGUUAUCUUGUGUUCUGAUUUGCUUGAAAAAAAAAGGUCAAGUUGCUGGAGAAGUUAUAAUAAACAGAAGCAAACAGGAUUUGUAAGUAAUCUGAAUAUCAAGGGGAAAAGGGGUUUCAACUUGCUCGAUUCUGUCAUCAAGGAUGUUUUGAGAUAUAACCUCAAUAAUAUCAUGCAGCACUCAGAGAAUCACCAGUCAUUUAAGAGCACCUGCAAAGCGUGUGAGCCUUCUCACGAACUUCCCUGGCUUUGCUGUGAUCACUUUCUCCUUGUCCAUCUUUCUAAUAUGCGUUCCAGAUUGGACAAAGAAGGCUCCAUUCAUCAACAAAUCCUCCUCUGACUUCAAUUCCAUGUCCUCCACUCACUCUCAGGUGCAUAGUCCCUCUUCGUCACCUAGACCACCCACACGUGAAAUACGUUAUUAUUUCUAAAUAUAAAAUAUCAAAUGUAUGCAAGUGAAUGUAUGUGGAUUAAUUGAUUCUUUCAUUCCUUUUGGGUUAUUGUAUGUGAAUAAUUUGAUGAUUUAUGAUUGACACUUAAGAGGCUUCUGUUAGAGAAUUUGAAAUUGGAAAAGAGAAAUGUUGAAUUUGUA